AUCGCUUCUCGGUCUUUUGGCUAAGAUCAAGUGUAGUAUCUCUUUUCAUCAGUUUAAUAUCUGAUAUGUCCUCUAUCCAAGGACAUUAUAUUAAACUAGAGGCCUGAUGCACGAAAUUCGUGCAUGGGUAGGGUCCCUAGACCUGGCUGGCCACCAGAGUUACCACUAUGAUCAAGUCUGGUUGGCCAAGCCAUC
rnacentral:snRNA from 1 species